ACAUCGAGACCAAGCGGCUUGUCCGAGAAUAAACACGCGACAACCAUGACAUUUUGGGGGUGGAACGCGCCGUGUAGACCCCUCUGCGUCUACCAAUGGCCACGGAGUAGUGGUUUCGGGGCAUGGCAGGCGAGCAACCUCGAAAGAGGAUGGAGCUACGAAGCAAGUCGAGUCCUGGUCCACCUUUGAAGCACGCGCCGACGGCGUGAUCGGCUCCACUCGUCGUGACGCCCUCAGCGAAUGUGAAGGUCCUUGCGGGUCCGGAAGCAGACGACGUGCUUUCUUCUGAACAAGCAACGCCUGUUGUCAUCAGCCGCGAGUGUCGAGGAAGACAUUCGAAGCAGCGAUAGCGCGAAAUAAAGAAAA